UCCUAGGUGACUCAGUGAUAAAGAAUCUGUCUGCCAAUGCAGGAGACCCAGGUUUGAUCCCUGGCUUAGGAA
rnacentral:tRNA from 1 species